ACGCAGAAGGAUAACACAGGCCACUAUUGGAUGUGGUUUUAAACAGUUAGUCUUCAUAAGAGUCAAAUGCUUUUAUGUUUAAGGAUAAGCUGUGAAUGUACCAAGUUUACUUGGAAAUUGUGUGAUUUCACGCUGCUGAAAAAAGUUUCGUAGGAAGAAAAUAUUGCCCGUACCGCAAACCGACACAGGUACUCAAGUGGAGAACACUAAGGUGAGCGAGUGAACUAUUGUUAAGGAACUCUGCAAAAUGAGUCCGUAACUUCGGAAGAAGGACUGCUGGUUUUAUACCAGCCGCAGCAAAUAGGCCCAAACAACUGUUUAUCAAAAACACAGGUUUCUGCAAAAUCGUAAGAUGAAGUAUAGGGGCUGACGCCUGCCCAGUGCUGGAAGGUUAAAAGGAGGACUUAGCUUCGGCGAAGGUCUUAAUUGAAGCCCCAGUGAACGGCGGCCGUAACUAUAACGGUCCUAAGGUAGCGAAAUUCCUUGUCGGGUAAGUUCCGACCCGCAUGAAAGGCGUAAUGAUUUGGGCGCUGUCUCAACAAUAGACUCGGUGAAAUUUAAAUUCCAGUGAAGAUGCUGGGUACCCGCGACAGGACGGAAAGACCCCGUGGAGCUUUACUGUAGCUUGAUAUUGAAUGUUUGUGCUGCAUGUGCAGGAUAGGUAGGAGACUUUGAAGUCGGAACGCUAGUUUCGAUUGAGUCACCCUUGAGAUACUACCUCUGUUGUAUGAACGUUCUAACUCUGAUCAGUUAUCCUGAUCGAAGACAGUGUCUGGCAGGCAGUUUGACUGGGGCGGUCGCCUCCUAAAAGAUAACGGAGGCGCUCAAAGGUUUGCUCAGAAUGGUUGGAAAUCAUUCGUAGCGUGUAAAGGCAUAAGCAAGCUUGACUGUGAGACUGACAAGUCGAGCAGGUACGAAAGUAGGACUUAGUGAUCCGGUGGUUCCGUAUGGAAGGGCCAUCGCUCAACGGACAAAAGCUACCCCGGGGAUAACAGGCUCAUCUCCCCCAAGAGUCCACAUCGACGGGGAGGUUUGGCACCUCGAUGUCGGCUCAUCGCAUCCUGGGGCUGUAG
rnacentral:rRNA from 1 species